CCGGGGAUCAUUUCAGAGGAUCUGUCCUUGGACCAGCGCGUUUCACUGUCAUAUCCUCUGCCUACCAGCAUCAUUGCUCUACUGAUGUUCUCUUCUUACCGCAAUGUAGUGUCUAAGGACUGGAGAUGCUGCUUCCUGAAACAAGUAACCAAUGUGGAUCCACAAUCAAAAUAUCCUCAACAGAGGUCAGCAUUUGAAUAAAUGACUAAGCCUGUUUCAAUAUAACAUAAAAGGAAAAGGGCCCGAAGCAGAAGUUUGGGCACCCUGCAUGGCAGUACUUAGUAACACCCCCUUUG